rnacentral:rRNA from 1 species
UAGGGAAUCUUCCGCAAUGGACGCAAGUCUGACGGAGCAACGCCGCGUGAGUGAAGAAGGAUUUCGGUUCGUAAAACUCUGUUGUUAGAGAAGAACAGCGCAUAGAGUAACUGUUAUGCGUGUGACGGUAUCUAACCAGAAAGCCACGGCUAACUACGUGCCAGCAGCCGCGGUAAUACGUAGGUGGCAAGCGUUGUCCGGAUUUAUUGGGCGUAAAGCGAGCGCAGGCGGUCAAUUAAGUCUGAUGUGAAAGCCCCCGGCUCAACCGGGGGGGGUCAUUGGAAACUGGUUGACUUGAGUGCAGAAGAGGAGAGUGGAAUUCCAUGUGUAGCGGUGAAAUGCGUAGAUAUAUGGAGGAACACCAGUGGCGAAGGCCACUCUCUGGUCUGUAACUGACGCUGAGGCUCGAAAGCGUGGGUAGCAAACAGG